rnacentral:lncRNA from 1 species
ACAGGUGGUGGAGAAGGCUCUCCGGCCAGGAGAGAUGCUGCACGGCGGAAGGCUGGUAGCAUUGUGUUGACGCCCAAACGUGGCACGGCCCGAGAUAUGUGAGGCUAAGAUCAGAAUUGCUUGGCAGUAACUCUUGAUAUUUUGCAAGUUUGGCUUGAAUAUGAAUUGUGCAAGAUAAAAGGGCCGUUUUGGAUGCUCUGGAUGUAAUUGUGCUAAAAAGGAUGAAUCAGCACCUGGAACAACACCACAAGUAGCAAAUAUGGCUGAUAUGACAGAG